CAGUCACACACACACACACACACACACACGCACACACACACACACCGAGCACACACCCACCCACAAGGACUUGAAGGAAUGGGUUAAGGAAGAGAAAGCUAAAUUGUUUUUUAAGGCAACCCAUUCAGCUGCUGUGGUGCAGUCUUAGGAAAAAAAGAUAAGAGCCAGGGUUGGGUUCUGUGGGCAUGUGCUACAGAAGGAGAAAAAGGGAUUGCUGAAGGAAGGGGACAAACUGUUAGGAGAUCUACAGACCAAUUACCAUUACCACACUGCUUUGUACUUUGAGCUGCCCCGCCCGUAGCAACAUGAGCAGAGCUAGAGUACCUAGACUAGAUCUGCUUCAAGGUGGACACCUGACUCCAAAGGAACUGAAGCCUUUCGGUGAGGAGAUGCCAGUUGGUGAUGGGUCCUUUGGCUGAGAGGUCUUGGUGUGCGGUCAAGGCACGUGAAAGUUUAAUCUCAAGCAAGAGUCCUAAACAUGAGGUUUCCCGAAGCACUUGCAAAUCCUAAAGUCUCUCACAUGCCAGUAGCUGUGAAGCAAGACUUAGCCGCAAGGAGAAAAUGACUGGAACAUGAAAAUGGCAAGUAAAGGUGAUUUGCUGCAUAAACUCACAGUCGUUGUAAGAAUUCACCCAUGUUUCCAUACCUUUACAACUUGGCAGUGCAGACCAGUUUCCAAGUUUGCUACAUUCUACUUCUUCAAGGCCAUCCAGUACGUAUGUAUCAUGGCAACCAAAUGUGGCUUUAUCCUUGUAAUAAAGUGCUGGUUUUGCAGGAUAGUUCACGAAUCCAUUUUCUGGUCUUGAUGGGAAUGGGCACUUUACUUCUAAAAAGUUUAUUCAAUAAGACAUAUUAGUAAUACAUAAACAGUUAUUUCCAGCAGUUACGGAAUCGUCAUUACAUUCAAGUCUCCAUCACAACAUUGAAUCAUUAGGUAUUCAGGUUACUGUGAUAUAAUUUCUGGAUACAUUAGUGCUUAGU